AUCAUUCUAUUCGUCUUUUAUUUCUCAAGGAUAAGCCCACAAAUUGGAUUAAAACUUGCCCAAUUAUUUGGGGCGAGCUCUAUAGCGAUCGUACACCUCUGAGCGGAAUGCCCACAAAAGCGUAGGAUGUCGUUGGAAUAGUUAGGGCCGUCUCCGAGCGGUUACCAAUUAUACCGAUGGAAAGUAAAUUCGAUUUGUGCCCACUCGUGCUCCACGGCUUCUAAUUCAAGUUGGCGCUAACUUUUAUCUGCUUACAUUCCAACAUUAACCAAAAGCGAACUGCGCUCCCCUCGACGGCUUCCCGCUCCACCAAAAUUACUGCCUUCUGUUUCUCUUUCACAGUUUUGCAUAAGAUAAUAACUUUGUCGCUCCUUAAAUCUUUACAUCUUGAACAACGAAUUACAUUCUAGUUAAGUCCUAUGAAAAUCAAGUAUCUCGGCUCCAUCCAAUGUUGCCAAGUUAAUUGCAAGUUUAACUUAAAAAAAAGUAUAAUAAAUAGGGUGUUUCACUACUCGUGUUACAAACUGUGCCAGUAGGUUCUACAUUCCAAAUGGAACCAAAAUGUCCUAAUUAACUAUGGUCCGAUUAUCAACAGUUUCGGAUGUAUUCUUCUUUUUCUGUUUUUUUAAGAUAAGAACUUUGCUUCAAAUAAACAAUGAUAACUCCAAAACUAGAAGGUUUUGGACAAACCCGUUGUUACCAUUAAAAACUACGCCACAUUUGCAAUAAUAUAUGAUCAUACUAAACGAACCACUGCAAUUCUAAAGUUCAACUUCAGUUUAAGUUUUUCAGCAGCGGACAGCAUCCGUUGCUUUAAAAUUACAACAUAGUGUUAACAAGACAUCACUUAGAUAACUAAAAACGUUUUAAAUCUUAAAAUACUUUUAUUCCGAGGUAUAAUAAUACAAUAAUCCUAGUAUCAAAGUUGCAGUCGUGUUGCACUAUUGCACUUGCACUAUUUCCGUUUCGAACCCAAAUUUAAAAAGAUUAAUAAAUUCAUUCAAAAUUGCCUUAAGUUUUUUAUUUUUUAUUAUUAUUAAUCUUUCCACUUUACCAAUCCGUCAACCACGGUUUGCUCCUUUCCAUCAUCAAUUUCUUCAUCUUUGCAAAAAGUAAUUAAAAAUUAUACCACUAAGCAGGAUAGUAAAUGGAGUAUGUUUAUUGAAAUUUGCUGGUCUCCAAGUUUGCAAAUAGCAGUUUAGAAUCACCAUAGUAAGUUUUCAACACGAAAACAAAUGUUUAUCAAAGUUCUGGCAACUAAAACGCUUAUUUCACCAACGUUUACAAAAUUAGUAUUGAUCACAUCUUAUUGCAAAUAUGAUGUAGUUUUUAAUGGUUACAACAGAUUUGUCCGAAACCUUUUAGUUUUUGAGAUAUCAUUGUUUAUUUGAAGCAAGGUAGCGAAAUCUUAAAAAAUCAAAGAAGGGGAAUAACUUCGAAACUGUUGAGAUUCGGACCAUAGGUAAUUAGGACUUUUUGGUUCCAUUUUGAAUGUAGAAUCUACUGGCAAAGUUUGUAACACGAGUAGCCGAACACCCUCUGUGUGUGUGUGUGUGUGUGUGUUGUGUGUGUAUAUAUAUAUAUAUAUAUAUAUAUAUAUAUAUAUAUAUAUAUAUAUAUACAUUCUAAUAAAACUUAACAAACAUUUAUGAAGAAUAAAGAAUGAAAGAUUGAGAGUGAAUCGGUUGACCCACAACAUAAUGAUAAUGAUGAUGAAGGAUGUUCUACGAAUCAAGACUGUGCUGUCGCCAAGCUUUAUACAUAUUUUUAUAUUUUUAUGUAUUUAGUUAAUCGCAAGUAACUAAUAAUCAAAUAUACAUAUACAUAUGUUAAAUAUUACGUUUUUACAACUAUUUUAAUUUUCUUAAAGAAGUGCAAAACAGAUCGAGGUCAAUAUCUCUAGAGCUUAUUCUAGUUUGUAUUAAUAAAAUAAUGCGUUUUACAGUUUGGUAUAUAGAAAAUUUUGGUAAAUCUUUUCUUCUCUCAGGUACAUUGAAAGGGACCCUUCCUAAUAAUUCAGGAUAAGAAAUUAAAUUACUUAAUAAUUUUGGAAGAAAAAUAACAUCAAAUGCGAGCCUCCACUCUUAUAAUGUACUAAUAUUCACAACAGCUCUUAUAUAAUCAUAAGAAACUAAAUCGAUUUUUGACCGAGUUUAUAGACACCUUAUAUAUGAAUUCUGUUUUGAAGCUAUUCUAUUCUAUAAAUAUAUAUUUGAUAAUAUAUUGACCAUUUCCAUCAGUGAUUGACUUGUGUGUCGUCUCAGCAGAACUCUUACCGGAAAUCGGUAGUUUUGAACAGUUACUUCCGUAUUACAAAUUUUAUAUUGAUAAUUAACAGCUCAUAAUUUCCUAGGGUUGUAAACGUUAUUGAAUUUUUGUAUAUUUAAUGCCAAAUGAUUUAGUUCACACUAUUUGACUAUAUAAAUUAUUUCUUGCUAAAGAAAUUUACAGUCUUCAAUAGAUUUUCUCAUUUUAAAAUAUCUUGAGACAAUCAGGUCUUAAAAUUCCUUUUGGAUCCUUAAGGCUUGAAGAGUAUUUUGCAAGAGGUGUCAGAAUAGUUACGACAGGGAUAAAUGGCUUGUGGCGGCCAAGGUUCAUAGCGAAGUCGCUUGAUCCUUCGAUGUCGGCUGUUCCUAUCAUUGAGAAGGCGAAUUCACCAUGUGAGGGAUUUUUCACCGUACAAAAAGGGAACGUGAGCAGAGUUUAGACCAUCGUGAGACAGGUGAGUUUUACCCUUCUGAUGACACGUCAUUGUGGUAGUAAUCAUGCUUAGUACGAGAGGAGCUGCAGUUUCGGACAAUUGGUUCAUGUACUCGGUUCACAGGCUCGUGGAGUGAAGCUACCAUCCGUGGGAUUAUAGAGAUAAAAUAUUCAGAAAUAUCAUUAAUAUUAAAAUAGUUCAAUAUUAAAUAGUAAUGAUGAUAGAUGACCACCUUGAGGGACACCGGAAAUUACAGUUAUAGUUAAAGAUCCCUUAUCUCUAUUUAACUUAUAUCUAUUAAGUUAUGUUUCAGCUAUUUUACCAGGCUUCCAUGAAUGCCAAUCGCCUCAAGCUUACAACA
rnacentral:rRNA from 1 species